rnacentral:misc_RNA from 1 species
CUGCCCUCCAGCGCGGCUGGGUGUUGGGCGCUGUCCCCCCGGGGACAUGCCCCAAAGGCAGUGGCGACGCCGCGUCGAGUCCUCGAGCGUAUGGAGCUUUGUCACCUGCUCGGGAGGGAUUCGCCGGCCUCGGUCUUCCCCGAUGGGCCCCGUACAGGGCCGAUCUUUCC